GCACUCAUUUAGCCAGCACAUAUACUAAAAUUGGAACAAGGUAGAGAAAAUUAGCAUGGCCCCCGCACAAAUAUGACAUGCAAAUUCAUGAAGCAUUCCAUAUGUUU